rnacentral:rRNA from 1 species
AGAGUUUGAUCCUGGCUCAGAGCGAACGCUGGCGGCGUGCUUAACACAUGCAAGUCGAACGCGCAGUUCCCUGUAGCAAUACAGGGGAUGGGCGCGUGGCGAACGGGUGCGUAACACGUGGAUAACCUUCCUUCAGGUGGGGAAUAACCCCGCGAAAGCGGGGCUAAUACCGCAUAACAUGACGAUGGCACAUGCCGUUGUCCUCAAAGCCGCAAGGCGCCAGAAGAGGGAUCCGCGGCCGAUUAGCUUGUUGGCGAGGUAAUGGCUCACCAAGGCAAUGAUCGGUAGCCGGUCUGAGAGGACGAUCGGCCACACUGGAACUGAGACACGGUCCAGACUCCUACGGGAGGCAGCAGUGGGGAAUCUUGCGCAAUGGACGAAAGUCUGACGCAGCAACGCCGCGUGGGGGAUGAAGCUUCUCGGAGUGUAAACCCCUUUCGACCCGGACGAAUGCCCGCAAGGGUUUGACGGUACGGGUAUAAGAAGCCCCGGCUAACUACGUGCCAGCAGCCCGCGGUAAAACGUAGGGGGCCAGCGUUGCUCGGAAUUACUGGGCGUAAAGGGUCCGUAGGCGGUGUGGCAAGUCGGAAGUGAAAUCUCUGGGCUUAACUCAGAGGCUGCUUCCGAAACUGCUGUGCUAGAGUGCGAGAGAGGCGAGUGGAAUUGCGGGUAGCGGUGAAAUGCGUAGAUAUCCGCAGGAACAUCCGAGGCGAAAGCGGCUCGCUGGAUCGCAACUGACGCUGAGGGACGAAAGCUAGGGGAGCAAACAGGAUUAGAUACCCCCGUAGUCC